AUUUAAAUAGCUUAAUAAGAGUAUGGCUUUGAAGUAGCUAAGGUGAUUAAUUUUAAAAUCUUUAAAUA
rnacentral:tRNA from 1 species